ACAAAGAGAAAGUGAGGGGGUGUGUGCAACAGCCUUCAUUUUACCAUGGCUUCGAGGUGCCACAUGAAAAUGUUUCUUCUGCUCCUUAUACUGGAGAUCGUUCUGCUCAUUACCAUGCCUUCUGGAGGCCUGGCGGGUCCGAGUGCGACACAGAGAAGCAAUAGUGACAACCCCAACUGCCCCCCUUGCUACAGACCUCCUUGUCGUCAUUGUUGAAAGUAUAUGGGGUUUUGCCCCAUUUAAUUUUCAUUCCUCAAAAGUCACAUAUAGAGUGAAGAAGAAAUGAGACCAACAUAUAAGGGACUCUCUCUCACACACACUCCUCAUUAGAGCAUGAUAGUAGUGGCGUGCCUUCUCCGCGGCCACACCGCACCGCUCGCCUACAUCUUCGAUUCCUGGCGACUUAUUCAAACCUGUAAUAAGAAUGCUCCUUGGUGCGAUAGCAAGAAUGUUAGCCAUCUAGGAGCAUGUGCUUCAUCGUUUUCCAAUUUGCAUCCUUAAUGUCGUUUUUAUGUUUUUGUGAUGUAUAAAGACUACAUGCCUGGCAAUUUGAUA